AAUCUGACAGGCCACAGAAAUAUCUGAUUUCAAAGAGAUGCUCGCAUUCUAUACUGAUGCCAUGUAGGAGUGUAAAUGCCCAAUGUCACACUGCUGAGUGGAGAAAGGUGAAGAUAAAGUAAGAAGGCAUCCAUCUACAAUCCAGGAAGAGGACUAUCACCAAAACUCCACCUUGCUGGCACUAUAAUCUUGGACUUCCAGCCUCCAAAACUCUGCUGGGAGCAGAGGCUUUCAAGAGGGACCAUAAUGCUGUGUUUUCUGGAAGCAUUUGAUUUGUGUCACGAAUGCUGUCUCAGGCAUGACUCACUGAUAAAAUGAAAUUAGAGGAAAAUAAGAUUUCCAGCUUCAAUGAAACUACCUCUCAGGAUCUACAGGUAGGUCAAGGAAGUUUCCAAAUCAAUAUAAGAUUUGAUUGUGUAAUUUUUUUAUGUUCAGUCUUUCUAUUAUUGAUAUUUUCAGGAGAAAAUUAUUUAAAUGAAACAAUAUGUUGGCUUUCUGUAAUACAUUUGAGUCUAGUAUAUAAAUCAGGGAAACCCUUGAUUCUUUCCAGAGAUUCUUGAUUAAAUAAAUUGAUAAAUGUGGUCAUCCUGCUUAAUUUAAGGUUAAUAUUUUAAGGCACAGGAAAAAGGUAAGGAAAUCUUAGUUUAACAGACUAUCAAAAGAAACUAUUAUCUAUCUCAAAAAGAUACCUAUAUUCCUAUGUUCAUUGCAACAUUACAACAGCCGUGGUAUGAAAACAACUUAAGUGCCCAUCAAUGGAUGAAUGGAUCAAAACUACAAAGCAUUAUUCAAUCUUAAAAAAUAAGGAAAUUCUAUCAUUUGAGAUUCCUGGAUUAGCCUAGAGGGUAAAAUUUUAAGAAAAAUAAACUAGACAGAGAAAGACCGAUAUAUGCACGGUAUCACUUAUAUGCAAAAGCUUAAACAAAAAAAGAAAAAGAAAAAGUUGCUCAUAGAAACAAAAAAUCGGAAAGUGUUUGCCAGGGGCUGGGAAUUGGGAGAAAUAGGGAGAAGCUGGCAAAAGGUGGUUUGCAGCCUCAAGAAGUUCUCCAGUCAAAAUUUGAAAAUGGCUCUCACACACAAAAGGCAAGGAGAGAUCAAAGAGGCAGAACUCUUUGAAUUGUUAGGUGGCAGGUUUAAAGAGUAAAGGAACUCAUAUAUACCUGAGUCUUGUCUUGGGUGACCUCAGGAUAAGAUCUCUGCACCUACCUGCCAGAAUCUUCCUCUAUGUAGAGGCUUUAGUUGGAUUCAAUCACAUGUAUUGUCCAGGUAGUCUCAACACAUUUGCUCUCUGAAGGCUAUGUUCUUGACAUGGCUUCCACCAUAGAAACCGUGAGAAGAAUGUCCAUUUCAAGGACAGAAGAGUUGCCUGCCUCUAGUUCUUGAGUCAACCAGUUAAAACAUGCUCUUGAUCACCUCCUCUGACAAUAGGGUACAAACUUUGUUAUAAGAUGAAUAAGAUGGUGAUCCAAUUUAUAACAUGGAGACUAUAGUUGGUAACACUAUGUUGUAUAAUUGAAAUUUUCUAAGUGUAGAAAUUAAGUAUUCUCUCUCUUACACACACACACACACACACACACACACACACACACAAAGUAAAUAUGUGAGGUGAUGGGUAUGUGAACUAACUCCAAGGGGCAAUAUCUUUUCACAAUGUGUGUGUGUGUCUCAAAUAAUCACAUUGCACACUUCAAAUAUGUUACAAUUUUAUUUGUCAAUUAUACAUCAAUAAAGCUAAAAAGAAUUGAGUCCCAGGAUCUAUUCGGUAAACCUUAGAACCAUUACACUCAGUGACAAACAAAGCAAUUACAAAGGAAGAACCAACAAAUGCAAACGAGAUUGUUUUUCAAACUUUACAUGGUAAUUAAGUAGUUCUUAUACAUUAGUAUGAAUGAGGAGUCUGUUUCCUUGGGGCUAUAUCGGACGAUGUGUUUUCAGAAGCAUUCAUUUAAAAAGUCAUUAUAAUGGGGUGGCAAGGUGGCUUAGUCAGUUUAGCGCCUGACCCUUGAUUUUGGCUCAGGUCAUGAUCCCAGGGUUGUGGGAUUGAGCCCCGUGUCGGCUCCGUGCUGAGCGUGGAGCCUGCUUAAGAUUGUCUCUCUCUGCCCUUGCCCCUCUUGCCCACAUGUUGUCUCUCUCUUUAAUAAAAAGUCAUGAAAUUGAAAUGAUCCUUUAUUUCUGAACCCUCCUUUUAUCUCAUGGUCUCUUAGCAGUAACAGAAUUAAAAUUAGUGUAUAACGUUGUUUUUUCCAGUGGAGAUGAUUGUUCAAAAGGUUAGAGAAGUUAAUGGGCUGUUCCAGGUUGAGUUUCUCUUGGAUCAGCCAAGUUUGCUCUAAAUUAAGUAUUCACAGUCUCAGUCCCCAUCUAGAGACAUAAGAUCCCAGUCAUAACAGUCUUACAAUAAUAACAUUAAAGCUAAACAUAAAAUUAUAAUAUAAUUAGAUAAUAAAUAAUGAUUACAGUCAAAUGAUGUGCUUCAUUUAACCCUCCUAUUAAUCAUAUGAGAUUUUGACACCCGUUUUGCAUUUGAGCAAAUCGAGGCUUAGAGAGUUUACAUGAACUGCCAGAUGAUAUAGAGCCAGAACCAGAUUUGAACUAAGUUUGUAAAAUCCAAAAUCCAUGUCAUUAAUCCGUGUGCUAGUGUUUCCCCUACUUAAAAUGUGUGUGGUUAUAUUUUCAUGUGUUUUGAGAAUUCUAUUUGAGUGAAUACGUAUGGCUGCCACUCAUUCAACAUUUUCUAAUGAAAGAAGCAACAAUUGGCCCAUAUUGUAGUAAAGUGAAUUAUUUUGCAUUCACUAUUUUCCAAACUACUUAUUGAUCAAAAUAUUCUGGUCAUUCUGUGGAGCACUGAAGAUAAAGGAGAAAUUAAGCACACGAUAAUACCUUCCUUGUGGAGUGUGCAUUUUGGUAAGUAAGGGAAGACAGACAACAAAUAGUAAGUUAUUAAAAUGCACGGAAUGGAACAUGAUGGUAAGUGAUGGAGAAAAAAAACAAAUCAGGGUGUAGGAAGGAGAUGCAUGAGGUUAUGGGGUUACAAUUUAAAAAGGAUGCUUCAUAAGAAGCUGGUAUUUAAUCCAAGAACUGAUGUGAGUAAACAGAACAAAGUGAGCCUUGUGAUUGUGUGGGGAAAGAGCCAUGCAGGCAGAGGCCAUGUAAGGAGGAGAGCCUGAGCUGCUGGGACCUGCUGUGUUCAAGGAAUAGCAAGGAAGUCAAUGUGCUGAGGGCACAAUGGGCCGGGUGAAAGCAGUGGGACAGAUUGGGUGGGGAUUUGGAGGCUGUCAUAGGAGUUAGUUUCAUUCUGAGUGGAUCAGAGCCACUGAAUACAUACAUACACGCAUACACACAUACAUUGUGUGUGGUGUCCGCGGACAAGGUUUGGAGAGGAUAUAUUACAUUUGUAUUUAUUUGUAGCCCAUAUUUAUUUAUUUUUAUUACAUGUUUUUAUAUAUAAAGUAUAUAGCUUUAGUACCAUAUAAAGUGCAAGCCAUUAAUAUAAUUCCUUUGUCCAGAUAAAUGGUAAACUUAAAGAUUGUAAUUCUUUUCAAUGAAAACAUGCAUUUUUAAAAAAUGACCAUUGUUUAUUCACGGUCACUUUAUUAGAUAUUCCAUUAAAUUAUUUAUGAUUUUUACCACAAUGAUAUAUUCAGUAUUUCCCUUGGUAUAUAAGGUAAACUAUUUUAUUUAUGUAUUUAAAAAAAUUUUUUAAAUGUUUAUUUAUUUUUGAGAGAGACAGAGUGCGAGUGGGGGAGGAGCAGAGAGAGAGGGAGACACAGAAUCUGAAGCAGGCUCCAGUUUCUGAGCUGUCAGCACAGAGCCCCAUGCAGGGCUCAAACCCACGAACCCCCUGAGAUCAUGACCGGAGCCAAAGUCAGAGGCUUAACCAGCUGAGCCACCCAGGCGCCUCAAAAGUGAACUAUUUUAGAUUUCAUAAUUCUAAACUAUGUUUUCAGUCCUCAGUCUGGGAAAUUACAUGGGAGUCCAUUUCUCCCCAACAACCUUAUUCCUAUUUAGGUCCUAAUUAGGGACUUCCCUAAAUCCCUAUUUAAAGUUUUCUAUUUGCAUAUUGAAGACAGUAUAGAUUGAGGACUUUGAAACAAUUUCAACUUCAAUUCUCUGUCUCUGCAUUCUCUGUAUUUCAUGGACUGCUUGAGGCUGAUUUUGUGUGAAAGACUCCCAACUGUUAUUACUUUGUUGGAGAAAGCAAGAGGAAAAAAGAAUGUCUUAAAUUAAUUUUUUAGACCAUGCUUAGUCCAGAUUUUCUUUCCUUUCAUAUCCUCUCUGCUUUUUGGUAUUAUUGAGGUUCUUUAAAUAAGGCCUUGAGCUACUCAUUGCUAGUGAUUCAAUACCAAGACUUUUUGUUAAAGGAUUGUAUUUUGGUUCAAGGAAAAGAAAACUACAAAACUGGUAAUUCUCUUUUGAAAUAUCGUAUCAGUGAAAACCAACAAAUGCCAGUUUUCAACGUUAAUAAAAGUUCAAGUAAGAAAACAAAAUUUGCGUAGAUAACUUGUUAUCUGAAGCAUUUCAGCUUUAAGUUAGCAUGCUUUUAGGUAAAACUACAUUUUAUUUUCAAUGCUUUCAUAUUUAAUUUCAUUAAAAUGGAAUGAUUUUAAUAUCUAUUUCCUUCAAAUUAAAUAUUAAUUCCAAAUCCCCGUUCUGUGUAUAUAUAUAUAUAUUUUUCAAAAUAUGUCCCUAUUCAACACAAUUGCAUGUUUUUAUUUUGGAUAUUUCCUAUUAAAAAAAUCAAACUAGCACAUGUACUCAUUUAAAACUCAUUUUACAUUGCUUCAUUUGUCUUGUUUUCUGAGCAGAGCUAUGGCAAAAGCAUGGGGUCAUUCUCCACUCACAUGCUUUGUAUAUGUGAACAGUUUUUUUUUUUUUUGUAAUAUAGCAUAAAUGUGUGGUCAGUGUUUUGGCCCUUCAGGCACUCAUCAGGCACGAUGGUUCACAGAAGUGAACUGGGUACCAAGAAUUUAAAGUGCCUUGAAAUCAUUAGAUGAUUAGCUUUCCCUUGAGUUCUUUGUCACCCUGAACAGAUUUUCUGAAGGAUCUGUUACAGUCUUCUUCCCCUGGUACUGAUCAAGGAAAACAAAAAUAGAAACAUCAUUGAGUACAAUGUUGAUCUGGAGACUCGGCAUUGUUUCAAAAGAGAAUGCUAGGAAACUGCUACAAAGUACAAACAUUUAUCCAAGCGUAAUGUCAAUGCCAAUUGUUUUGCCUUGAAAUCCAGAGCUUUUCAAAGGCCCUUUCUCAAGUGCACUUGGGCCUUAAAUAGUAAACCCACUUUUCCAUGUGAAAAAAAUGCGGAAGGUAUCUCUCAAUCAUGCUUAUACUGGUCUUAUGAAGCAAAUAAAACUGCAUGUGAAUAAAGGUUGAUUUAAUGUUUGUAACAGUGAGAGUCUAUUUUCAAUAUAAAAAAUGACCGGGCUCAGGCAGCCAGUCAAAACUAGAAAUGGGAUCAACUCUCAUUGAAAAAAAAAAAUCAUGAAUAUAAUGUGGACAUUUAUCAUUUAUUGCAGUAUUCUGUGAACAUAUGCUACGCCGAUUACUGGGUGUAAAAUAUGAAGAGACAUUUUAAGUAAAAAUGGAUAAAGUAGGUGCAUUUAUCUUCUUCUUUGAAUAUAAUUGAGAUGGUUGAAUGCACAGAAAACACAGACCAACCACUUCCCUUGAUGUUAAGCAUAUUUGGAUUUUUGGGGCCUGAAUAAUAAUAAACUUCUAUAGUAAUACCAUGAAAAGGGAUCUUUUCCCCCUCAUUUGUAAAGCUCGUGUUCAAGCAAGAGUAUCAAUAUUUUUUUUCCAUAAGUGGUCCAUUUAAAAAAAAGUAGUCCUCAUAUCAAUGCCACUUUCAAUACAGCUUCUUCUCAGUAUUAGCCUUAUGAACAAGAAACAUGUCCUUCAACCACUCCAAUCUUAAAAACAAAAAACACAAAUACACUUUGGUGGUCCAAUAAAUGAGAAUGUGCUGCUGUGAUCUGUUUCUUAGGAUGGAAUAGUGAGGGUUGGCAGUUAUUAACAAGUAUUGUCAUCUCCACAGAUGCUACAGAUCACAGAGGCUCCUUCAGAGAAGGGCUUUAUACUGGCCCUCUGUAACAUUUAAAUAUUUAAAAUUUCACAUUGCAAUAAAAAGCUUAUUUCUAAAUGAAGUCCAUGAUCAGUCUGGAUAUAAAGCCUAAUGACACUGGCUCAGUCUUCAGGAAGGAGUGAGAAUAAAUGGGUCCAUACAGAAUACGAGUCUCAUAGGUUUUAGCCAGAGAAUGUUUUUGUUAUGAUUGUGGUUGUGGCUGUAAUUAUUCCCAUUUUUGUCGAGCCUUCACUUAUGUGGCGGCUCCAAAAAUUGUUUACUUUGGGACCAUAUUUUAAAUUACAAUAAUAUUUAAUAUAGUGAUACUUGAGUACAUCCUUUCCCAACCACAAGGUAAAGCUAGUUCCAAUGCCUUUGCAUUUUUAAAAAUAUAGUUAAAUACCUGUGAAUUUCCAAUAAAAGUCCUUGUCUGUCCAGUUUGUUAACUGCCAAAUUAACAGAGAGUUUCAACAAAAAUGUGUCCCUGAAAUGAGAAUUUGUACUUAAAUUAGCUACACUUGAUCUUAGCCAAAAGGCCGAGAAGCGAUUGUACUUAAAUUAACUGAAUUGUUUAUUAAUUUGUCUACUUGCUGUAAGAGUAACAGGACGAGAUUUUGCUCAUGACUCCCAUUCUAUCAGGUACUGCUAACUUACCAAGUAGCAUUUCUGAGGCCUAUUACAAUGAUGUGGAGAACUUAGAAUAAUUAAUAAUUGGAGCAAAUGUAAAUGUUACAGCCUGACUAGCUGCUUCUCUGUUUCAGAUCCUGCCUCCAGCCACGCCCACCAAACAAAGAAACAAACAAACAAACAAAAAAAACCCAAACUAUGUGUGUAACACUAGGAACCUGAUAAAUCUUAGAUUAGAAAAUGAAUUUUCUAAUUGGACAUUGAGAAAUUCUUAGGAUUCUUCAGAAUCCUUAUUUCUAGCAUGUGUAGGAAAAGCAGGAACCAAAGGUAGCCCCCAUUCCAACCCAAGCAAUUUCACUUCUCUCUUUUAUAUAUAGAGAGACACAGCUGCUUUAAAUAUUGGUUUGUUUGAU